rnacentral:rRNA from 1 species
AUACGGGGGGUGCAAGCGUUAAUCGGAAUUACUGGGCGUAAAGCGCGCGUAGGCGGUUUGCUCAGUCGGAUGUGAAAGCCCAGGGCUCAACCUUGGAACUGCAUACGAUACUGGCAAACUAGAGUGUGAGAGAGGAUAGUGGAAUUUCCGGUGCAGCGGUGAAAUGCGUAGAUAUCGGAAGGAACAUCAGUGGCGAAGGCGACUGUCUGGCUCAACACUGACGCUGAGGUGCGAAAGCGUGGGUAGCAAACAGGAUUAGAUACCCUAGUAGUCC